rnacentral:rRNA from 1 species
AACGAACGCUGGCGGCAUGCCUAACACAUGCAAGUCGAACGAGACCUUCGGGUCUAGUUGCGCACGGGUGCGUAACGCGUGGGAACCUGCCCUUAGGUUCGGAAUAACUCCCCGAAAGGGGUGCUAAUACCGGAUAAUGUCUUCGGACCAAAGAUUUAUCGCCUUUGGAUGGGCCCGCGUUGGAUUAGCUAGUUGGUAGGGUAAAAGCCUACCAAGGCGACGAUCCAUAGCUGGUCUGAGAGGAUGAUCAGCCACACUGGGACUGAGACACGGCCCAGACUCCUACGGGAGGCAGAAGUGGGGAAUAUUGGACAAUGGGCGAAAGCCUGAUCCAGCAAUGCCGCGUGAGUGAUGAAGGCCUUAGGGUUGUAAAGCUCUUUUACCCGGGAUGAUAAUGACAGUACCGGGAGAAUAAGCUCCGGCUAACUCCGUG